rnacentral:rRNA from 1 species
AAAGCUCAGAUUUGAAAUCGUGUUUCGGCACGAGUUGUAGAUUGCAGGUUGGAGUCUUUGUGGAAGCGUGUGUCUAAGUCCCUUGGAACAGGGUGCCAUUGAGGGUGAGAGCCCCGUGAGACGCGUGCGGAAGCUGUAAGGCCCUUCUGACGAGUCGAGUUGUUUGGGAAUGCAGCUCUAAGUGGGUGGUAAAUUCCAUCUAAGGCUAAAUAUUGGCGAGAGACCGAUAGCGAACAAGUACUGUGAAGGAAAGAUGAAAAGCACUUUGAAAAGAGAGUGAAACAGCACGUGAAAUUGUUGAAAGGGAAGGGUAUUGGGCUCGACAUGGGAUUUGCGCACCGCUGCUCCUUGUGGGCGGCGCUCUGUGCUUUUCCUGGGCCAGCAUCGGUUUUUGCCGCAGGAGAAGGCGUGCUGGAAUGUGGCUCUUCGGAGUGUUAUAGCCAGUGCGAGAUGCUGCGUGCGGGGACCGAGGACUGCGACAUCUGUCUCGGAUGCUGGCACAACGGCGCAAUACCGC